CCUACGGGCGGCAGCAGUGGGGAAUAUUGGACAAUGGGCGAAAGCCUGAUCCAGCCAUGCCGCGUGUGUGAAGAAGGCCUUCGGGUUGUAAAGCACUUUCAGUGGGGAAGAAAGCCUUGGGGCUAAUACCCUCGAGGAAGGACAUCACCCACAGAAGAAGCACCGGCUAACUCCGUGCCAGCAGCCGCGGUAAUACGGAGGGUGCGAGCGUUAAUCGGAAUUACUGGGCGUAAAGCGCGCGUAGGCGGUCUGAUAAGCCGGUUGUGAAAGCCCCGGGCUCAACCUGGGAACGGCAUCCGGACCUGUCAGGCUAGAGUGCAGGAGAGGUAGGUAGAAUUCCCGGUGUAGCGGUGAAAUGCGUAGAGAUCGGGAGGAAUACCAGUGGCGAAGGCGGCCUUCUGGACUGACACUGACGCUGAGGUGCGAAAGCGUGGGUAGCAAACAGGAUUAGAUACCCCGGUAGUC
rnacentral:rRNA from 1 species